GAAGAUUGAUAUUUUUUUUAUAUUUUUUUAAAUUAUUUUAGAUUGUCAAUAUAAGCUUAAAUUUAUAUUUAAAAGAUAAUUCGGUGAAUGAAUAAAGUUUUGUUUUUAAUAUUAUAACUUCUUCUUUUUUUAAUGAUGAAUUCAAUUUGUCUUUUAAAUUCAAAUAUUAUUAUAGUUAAUUCAGUCAUGAUUUGUGACAAUCUAGAAUUGUUGAAAAGUUCGAG
rnacentral:lncRNA from 1 species